AUGCUCCGACUGCUCAUCCUAGUACUUGGGAUGGCUUUUAACCUGAGAGAUGCCCGUGCGCAGUCAGUGACCCAGCCUGAUGUCCACAUCUCUGUCUUUGAAGAUGCCCUACUGGAGUUGAGAUGCAACUAUUCCUACGGUGGUGUCCCUUCCCUCUAUUGGUACGUCAAAUACCCCAACGAAAGCCUCCAGCUUCUCCUCAAGUACCUUUCAGGAGACACCCUGGUGAAAGGCAUCAAAGAUUUUGAGGCUGAACUUAAGAAAAGCGAGUCUUCCUUCAACUUGAGGAAGCAGUUUGCUCACUGGACCGACUCUGCGGAGUACUUUUGUGCUGUGAGUGCCACAGUGCUGGGACUGCAGGGGGAGCUGAACACAAACUCCCUGAGGCACUGGGGAGGAUUCGUCUAG